CCUACGGGGGGCAGCAGUGGGGAAUAUUGGACAAUGGGGGCAACCCUGAUCCAGCCAUGCCGCGUGUGUGAAGAAGGCCCUCGGGUUGUAAAGCACUUUCAGUGAGGAAGAACGCCUGGUGGUUAAUACCCAUCAGGAAAGACAUCACUCACAGAAGAAGCACCGGCUAACUCCGUGCCAGCAGCCGCGGUAAUACGGAGGGUGCGAGCGCUAAUCGGAAUUACUGGGCGUAAAGCGCGCGUAGGUGGCUUGAUAAGCCGGUUGUGAAAGCCCCGGGCUCAACCUGGGAACGGCAUCCGGAACUGUCAAGCUAGAGUGCAGGAGAGGAAGGUAGAAUUCCCGGUGUAGCGGUGAAAUGCGUAGAGAUCGGGAGGAAUACCAGUGGCGAAGGCGGCCUUCUGGACUGACACUGACACUGAGGUGCGAAAGCGUGGGUAGCAAACAGGAUUAGAUACCCUAGUAGUC
rnacentral:rRNA from 1 species